UACAGAGGGUGCAAGCGUUAAUCGGAAUGAUUGGGCGUAAAGCGCGCGUAGGUGGUAAGAAAAGUUGGAUGUGAAAUCUUCGGACUCAAUCUGAAAAUGGCAUUCAAAACUGACUUACUAGAGUUCAGCAGAGGAAAGUGGAAUUUCCAGUGUAGCGGUGAAAUGCGUAGAUAUUGGAAGGAACACCAGUGGCGAAGGCGACUUUCUGGGCUGAAACUGACACUAAAGCGCGAAAGCGUGGGGAGCAAACAGGAUUAGAUACCCCCGUA
rnacentral:rRNA from 1 species